UUCUGUGUUGACUGUCAUACCAAGCUUUGGCGAAUAGCAGAAAGUGCCUGCCGGUUAUACCCAAGAACUCUCCACAAGCUGUUAUGAUGCGGAACGCGAGAAAGACCACCUAAAGACCGAAUUGAGCCAACUUGUGCCUUCUAACCACUCACACCUCCACUUAUUCAGAGCAGAGCACUUGGAUGAGUUCACUGUGCUUCACUGACAGGGAGGAUCAUAUAGAAGAAUAUGGCUGAAGUACAGUGGCUAUUCCCCGGUGAAAUCAUAGUAUACUGCGGCCUCCAACACCUGGCCUCAUAUGAUCCUCCCGCCUCAGCCUCUUGAGUACCUGGGACUACAGGCCAGUGCCACCCUGCCUGGCUCAUGU